rnacentral:rRNA from 1 species
CCUACGGGCGGCAGCAGUGAGGAAUAUUGGUCAAUGGACGAGAGUCUGAACCAGCCAAGUAGCGUGAAGGAUGACUGCCCUAUGGGUUGUAAACUUCUUUUAUAUAGGAAUAAAAUGUUCCACGUGUGGCUUUUUGUAUGUACCUUAUGAAUAAGGAUCGGCUAACUCCGUGCCAGCAGCCGCGGUAAUACGGAGGAUCCGAGCGUUAUCCGGAUUUAUUGGGUUUAAAGGGAGCGUAGGUGGGUUGUUAAGUCAGUUGUGAAAGUUUGCGGCUCAACCGUAAAAUUGCAGUUGAAACUGGCAGUCUGGAGUACAGUAGAGGUGGGCGGAAUUCGUGGUGUAGCGGUGAAAUGCUUAGAUAUCACGAAGAACCCCGAUUGCGAAGGCAGCUCACUGGACUGCAACUGACACUGAGGCUCGAAAGUGUGGGUAUCAAACAGGAUUAGAGACCCGUGUAGUC